rnacentral:rRNA from 1 species
UACGUAGGUGGCAAGCGUUGUCCGGAUUUACUGGGCGUAAAGGGCGCGCAGGCGGUCCGGCACGUCCGUUGUGAAAUCGCUCGGCUCAACUGGGCGGGGUCAGCGGAUACGGCCGCACUUGAGCAAGCUAGGGGGCAAUGGAAUUCCCGGUGUAGUGGUGGAAUGCGUAGAUAUCGGGAAGAACAUCGGUGGCGAAAGCGCUCUACUGGACCGCAACUGACACUCAGGGACGAAAGCUAGGGGAGCGAAUGGG